UGGGGAAUUUUGGACAAUGGGCGAAAGCCUGAUCCAGCAAUGCCGCGUGUGCGAAGAAGGCCUUCGGGUUGUAAAGCACUUUUGUCCGGAAAGAAAUCCGCCUGGCUAAUACCCGGGCGGGAUGACGGUACCGGAAGAAUAAGCACCGGCUAACUACGUGCCAGCAGCCGCGGUAAUACGUAGGGUGCGAGCGUUAAUCGGAUUUACUGGGCGUAAAGCGUGCGCAGGCGGCUUUGUAAGACAGAUGUGAACUCCCCGGGCUCAACCUGGGAACUGCAUUUGUGACUGCAAGGGUAGAGUGAGUCAGAGGGAGGUGGAAUUCCGCGUGUAGCAGUGAAAUGAGUAGAGAUGCGGAGGAACACCGAUGGCGAAGGCAGCCUCCUGGGAUGACACUGACGCUCAUGCACGAAAGCGUGGGGAGCAAACA
rnacentral:rRNA from 1 species